rnacentral:lncRNA from 1 species
UUUCUAUUAUAAAAGGCAGGGGCUUCAUGAGCUCCCCUCUGUGAGCUGUGAGUGAGUUGGGUGGUAGGAAACCUCUGGUUCUCCUGGUGGAAAGAAGCCGCCCUCCCUCCAUGACUGCCACUUCCUUGGAGUUUGAUGGACAAAGCAUCAGUAUCGUGGCCCCUGUAUCUUAUCACAAGGCCUCUGAUUCUCUGUGAUCACCUCAGCAGUGGAAGGAAGCACAGAGAGGGCUCACCAGCAAAUAAACACUUCAAUGCAGACUUGUUAUAUGACACCACCUAACCUACAAAGAAGAUCUGAAUUCAGAAAGUGUAACAUCUGGACCAAGCUGCAUUAGCUUGGGGAGGCAGAGGUGAUUAAUGACUGUGUUUGUGCUGGACACACAGUAUUGUACCACAUUUUCAAUCAUGUUGUGUAUUGCAUAACUCUAGGAUUGAUUACACCUGCUCCAGGUGCAAUGGUCUCUAGGAGACAACCAAAACCGCUGCAGGCUGGUGUGGGGGUAGCUGGGCUGCCAGAAAGUCAGACUUCUUUAGCAGUUGUUCAGGUCUGAAAUCCAAAGUGUUUGGAAGGUCUUUCAGGAAAUAUAAUUCAUUUUCAAGCCUUUUUUUGGGUGGUUAGAGUCUUCUAUGUAUUAUGUCCAAUUAAUUAUGCAUUUUUUGUUGCUUUGAAGUGAUAAUUUCUCAGAUUAUCUUGGCAACUUCUUCAUCUGAUAGGAGGGGGUCUGGGUGUCACCCCUCUAUUGUCUGAAUUAUUUCAAACCCUACUCCUGCAUGGUCCUCUGGAGUUGCUAAGGAAGCAAAAGAGGCACAAAACCAUAUUAUUCUUAACACAUCAAACAAACUCACAUCCAUGGUUGCCCAUCAGCAGGUGGCACAGACACAUGGAACCAUAACAUUCGUAUUCUUUUGUUAGGAAUAUAUUGGCAAGAUAACAUAAUGGUUAAAAAUAUGGCUCCUACAGUCAGACCUUGGUUUUGAUCAUGGUUUUACCGCUCACUGUGUGAGUUUGGGACACAGCAACUUGUGCUUUGACUUUCUCAUUGACAAAAUUGGAGCAAUGAAAGUCAUGAUCUCAAAGAAUCAUGAGUCAAUGUAGAGAAAGCACUUAGCAAAGCACAUGGUGGUUAAUAAGUGUUCAAUUCACACUGACUUUUAUUACUAAUACUCUUGUGCUG